GAUGAACGCUGGCGGCGUGCCUAAUACAUGCAAGUCGAGCGAACGGACGAGAAGCUUGCUUUUCUCAUGUUAGCGGCGCACGGGUGAGUAACACGUGGAAAACCUACCUAUAAGACUGGUAUAACUUCGGGAAACCGGAUCUAAUACCGGAUAAUAUUUUGAACCGCAUGGUUCAAAAGUGAAAGACGGUCUUGCUGUCACUUAUAGAUGGAUCCGCGCUGCAUUAGCUAGUUGGUAAGGUAACGGCUUACCAAGGCAACGAUGCAUAGCCGACCUGAGAGGGGGAUCGGCCACAGUGGAGCUGGGGCACGGACCAGACUCCUACGGGAGGCAGCAGUAGGGAACCUUACGCAAUGGUCGAAAGCCUGGCGGAGCAACGCCGAGUGAGUGAUGAAGGUCUUCGGAUCGUAAAACUCUGUUAUUAGGGAUGAACAUAUGUGUAAGUAGCUGUGCACAUCUUGACGGUAACUAAUCAGAAAGCAACGGCUAACUACGUG
rnacentral:rRNA from 1 species